UUAGGUGACGAUAGCGGCGGGGUUCCACCUCUUCCCAUCCCGAACAGAGAAGUUAAGCCCGCUUGCGCCGAUGGUACUGCGAUACAAUGUGGGAGAGUAGGUAAUCGCCAAUU
rnacentral:rRNA from 1 species